rnacentral:rRNA from 1 species
UACAGAGGGUGCGAGCGUUAAUCGGAAUUACUGGGCGUAAAGCGUGCGUAGACGGUUACGUAAGUCGGGUGUGAAAGCCCCGGGCUCAACCUGGGAAUUGCAUUCGAGACUGCGUAGCUAGGGUGCGGAAGAGGGAAGCGGAAUUUCCGGUGUAGCGGUGAAAUGCGUAGAUAUCUGGAGGAACACCGGUGGCGAAGGCGGCAUUCUGGACCGACAUUGACGCUGAGGAGCGAAAGCCAGGGGAGCAAACGGG